rnacentral:rRNA from 1 species
ACUCCUACGGGAGGCAGCAGUGGGGAAUAUUGCACAAUGGGCGCAAGCCUGAUGCAGCCAUGCCGCGUGUAUGAAGAAGGCCUUCGGGUUGUAAAGUACUUUCAGCGGGGAGGAAGGCGAUAAGGUUAAUAACCUUGUUGAUUGACGUUACCCGCAGAAGAAGCACCGGCUAACUCCGUGCCAGCAGCCGCGGUAAUACGGAGGGUGCAAGCGUUAAUCGGAAUUACUGGGCGUAAAGCGCACGCAGGCGGUCUGUCAAGUCGGAUGUGAAAUCCCCGGGCUCAACCUGGGAACUGCAUUCGAAACUGGCAGGCUAGAGUCUUGUAGAGGGGGGUAGAAUUCCAGGUGUAGAGGUGAAAUGCGUAGAGAUCUGGAGGAAUACCGGUGGCGAAGGCGGCCCCCUGGACAAAGACUGACGCUCAGGUGCGAAAGCGUGGGGAGCAAACAGGAUUAGAAACCCUGGUAGUCCCAUGAU